UUAUUUAAAGACCGUGGUUUGUUGCAAAUAUGUUGGUUUUAUUCGAAAGCAUAUUGCACAAUCCCCGGCCUGUAAAUGA
rfam:Stomoxys calcitrans breed 8C7A2A5H3J4 unplaced genomic scaffold Scaffold642, whole genome shotgun sequence.